UUGCUUGUCCUCAAGCAAUUCACACAUAAUCAAAUGCAAUGAUUCAAGAGGUGAAAUAAUAUAUGCACUUUGUCCAAUUUAAUUCCUCAAGACUUGGAAAAUAAUCAUUAUACAAUUAUUCAAUUUACAUUAAAUACUCAUAAUAUCAAGUAAAGGAAAGAUAAUUAUACCCUAAAUUCAACAAGUUAAACUUAAUCUCUUACCCUAACUUAAUUUUACAAAUAAGCAAAUCACAUAGUCAAUUUAUAGCUUUCCUCCUCCUAUAAUCAUCUUUUUCUCAAAAUUCUAUAACUAAGAGGGAUUUAUUCACACAAAUUUUACUUAAAUAGUGAGAAUGCCUUUUUACGCGAAAAUCGACACUUUUAGGUGAA
rnacentral:lncRNA from 1 species